UUGGACCAUUACAUCCACCAUCAAUAAAUUGUCUCACUCUAUGAUCUCAUUUGCAUCAAUUAUGAAUUGACAUUUCUGAGGGAAAUUUAAACCCUGUUUACCUGGAUAGGAUUUUUAAAAAUCCAAUCUAAUGAUUUAUAUUUUAGAUCUAAAUCUAUACUUUUUCUUUUAGAUUUCCAAACUCUAGAGGAAUUGGUCCUGUUAACUGAUUCAUUCUUAGAUCAAGC
rnacentral:lncRNA from 1 species